AACGAACGCUGGCGGCAUGCCUAACACAUGCAAGUCGAACGAACCCUUCGGGGUUAGUGGCGCACGGGUGCGUAACGCGUGGGAAUCUGCCCUUUGCUUCGGAAUAACACAGAGAAAUUUGUGCUAAUACCGGAUAAUGUCGCAAGACCAAAGAUUUAUCGGCAAAGGAUGAGCCCGCGUAAGAUUGGCUAGUUGGUGGGGUAAUGGCCUACCAAGGCGACGAUCUUUAGCUGGUCUGAGAGGAUGAUCAGCCACACUGGGACUGAGACACGGCCCAGACUCCUACGGGAGGCAGCAGUGGGGAAUAUUGGACAAUGGGCGAAAGCCUGAUCCAGCAAUGCCGCGUGAGUGAUGAAGGCCUUAGGGUUGCAAAGCUCUUUUACCAGGGAUGAUAAUGACAGUACCUGGAGAAUAAGCUCCGGCUAACUCCGUG
rnacentral:rRNA from 1 species